rnacentral:rRNA from 1 species
GGCCCGUCCUCCCGGUCCUCGUGGAGUGAUGUCUACCGGGCUCUCGUUUGUUACGGUCCCUAGGGUUCGCUUCUGGUUCGGAGCCUGAGAGGGGCUACUACGUCUACCUUUGGCCGUGGCACAGAAAUUGACCAUUCCUGACUCAGGAAGGUGACGACCACUUACUACAACGCCCUCGCAUUGGGACUGUAGUGAGGGUAUUCCAUACCCAUCCACUAGUACGAUUAGAGGGCCGUCUGGUGCCAGACUCCGCGGUAAUUCCAGCUCUAUUGCGUAUAUCAUGGUUGCUGCGACUAAAAGCUCGUUUUUGUUUUUUCUAGGAUCGCAACCCCUCCGGAGAUUCAUACUUCUACUCUUCAGACUGUUACUGUGAUAAAAUUAGAGUGUUUCAGCAGGCUUUCACGGGCUCACAUCUAUCAUCGGAAUAACGCAGCACCCCCCCCCCCCGCCCAGCCAGCCACGAUUCAUAGCCACAGUUGGGAGCAUGAGCCUUCUAUUCUGUUCUAUGCUUACUACUUGGAGUCGUGGAGACUUACGCAUGCUAAGCCUCUGCCACGAUGUGUUCAUUACUCGGGACGACGUCGGGAUUUAAUACAUUCUCAUCUGGCGACUCCAUCUACAAAUAUGCGACUGGAUUGGAGUGAGCUCCCAAAUGUCGUUACCUCAUGUCAUCCAGUUCUGGUUCUGGGGGAGUCGUCCAGAUUGACUUACUGAUCCCGACUGCCACUGUAUGGACUGCGUAUGGCUCACUGGUACUUCAGACCAAUUAGCUGAAUGUAGCUUGCCGAUCUGGUGGCAUGCAUCAGAGGA